AAUGUGUGUGUUUUUUUUUUUUUUGUGUAAUGGUGAGAAGAGGUUAGUGAUUGGUUGGUGGCUAUGCAGUGUGAAUGAUGCAAGAUAAGCGGCAUUGUCGUCAGUUGUCUUGGGUACACCAGACGACUCCAGAAUGCCAGAGUGAAAAGGCGUGUUUUUUUUGUACUGAGAUUUUUUUUUCAAAAUACCAUUUUAUAUUAUUCCUCAAGUCUACUACAUUGAUUUCAUGUCAUCAAGUUAAAUUUGUCCAUAUUGUAAUAAAAAUUAUGUUUCCUAUUGUUCACAAAGAAGUUACUCAAGUUACAAGUACGCCUACACCGGUUAAGUUGUCUACCAGCAAUUUGGUGCAACAAGUCAACGACCGUCAACAACACAGCAAAAGCAAUUAUUUUAGGAUUUAAAGACCUAACGAUGUUUAUUAUUGCCAAGGUUGAAUAAAGAUAUGUGAACAUAUCACAAUGAACAUAUGCCUAUACUCAACCCAGUACCUAACAGAUGGCAGAGUUUUGAUUGGAAAUCAAACUGCCCCAUAGAUUGCAGGGUCUGAAAGGGAUACCUUUACCUUUGUUAAAAAAAGAAUGACUUACUAUGAUUCAGCAACAACCGAGAAAGCAGCAUACAAGAAGCGGCUACUUCAGCUGGACUAUACUGUCCCAUCUCAGACUGUAGUAAACACAGCAUGGCAAGAUACUCAAUCAACAUCGCAGAGUAUCCUGUUUCACCAACAAUGGCAACCAGAACCUUGACAUAAUCCUGAAUGGUCAAGACCUAAGCAAAACAGAAUCACAAGUCAGCAUUCAAGCAGCCAUUUACAAAGAUUUUAUGGUGUUUGAAUAGGCAUUUAAAAAUUUAAUUUGAAUGAGAUUAUGCUUUUAAACAAUAAAAUAAUAUGAUUUUACAUUUUA